CCUACGGGCGGCUGCAGUGAGGAAUAUUGGUCAAUGGGCGCGAGCCUGAACCAGCCAAGUCGCGUGAGGGAUGACGGCCCUACGGGUUGUAAACUUCUUUUGUCAGGGAGUAAAAUACGCCACGCGUGCCUUUCUGUGAGUACCCUAAGAAUAAGCAUCGGCUAACUCCGUGCCAGCAGCCGCGGUAAUACGGAGGAUGCGAGCGUUAUCCGGAUUUCUUGGGUUUAAAGGGUGCGUAGGUGGGUUGAUAAGUCAGUUGUGAAAUGUCGGGGCUCAACCGUGGAACUGCCACUAAUACUGGUGGUCUUGAGAGUAGAUGCGGUAGGCGGAAUGUAUGGUGUAGCGGUGAAAUGCUUAGAGAUCAUACAGAACACCGAUUGCGAAGGCAGCUUACCAAUCUACAACUGACAUUGAGGCACGAAAGCGUGGGUAGCAAACAGGAUUAGAUACCCGGGUAGUC
rnacentral:rRNA from 1 species